CUUUUCACUCUAUGAAACUAACCACUUUAAUUUCUCCACGGUUUUCUUCCUCCAUUAACCAAUCUCAUCUCCUAUAUAUAGCAUUUGUCAGUAGAUAUCUGCUCUUAUUUAAAAUAAUUUUCUCAUGUUGUCGUUUCACCGAAAUUUGAAAGAAGGCAUAGGAACGCCAUCAUCCUUUUGUUCUCAUUCAAUGUUGUCGAGAACAAUUUCAACGCAUUAAAAAUUCACAAACCAGAGUUUUUCAUCAAAGAUGGAGUUUAAGAGUUUUUGUUGUUUUACGUUGUGCGGGGUCUUUCGGAUAUUGAGUAAGCUAAAUUUAAGAUAUAUUUCUUCUCACACACAUUUUGUAUUAUUUGAAUACAUUAAUGUCAAAGUCAUGAUUGGGAAAACAUUUGUUCA